rnacentral:lncRNA from 1 species
UGCUCUUGAUUUGGUAGCUGUGAUGUCAGUGGAGAAUUAUGUUUAAUUUUUGACUUCUCUGUAUAUGUUGCAUAAGGAUAAAUUUUAAGAUUAAGGACUGAUGUCGAAUUCAAUUUGGGGCAAAUCUCAGACACAUGAGCCAAGCCUUGGGCAUAGACAUAUCAUAAUCGUUUCUUCAAUCGCAUAUCAUUUGCCUUCAUACAGUCGUGAUUCAUGCUAAAGAGUUGUCUGUAUCAAAGAAGAGUUGCAGCUGUGGGAUGAAGAAUUUUUAUGUUUAUAUUUUGAUAUUUGCACUUGUAAAUUUUUAGUUAGUAUAUUUAUUGUAUGUACAGUACAGAAUGUAGAGGUGCCAAUUGGCACCUUAUUUUUUUUAAUCCAACCUCAUAAAUUUGCCACUGAUAUGAGUGGCAUUCCAAAGCUACUAAUAUUAGUGUGGAUUUAGAUUCUGUCUUGUCUUGGAUGAAGUUAUUCCACUGAUGUUUUUUCAGUGCCUAUUG